GACGGAGGAGGCAAGCGUUAUCCGGAAUUAUUGGGCGUAAAGCGUCCACAGGUGGCGAUUCAAGUCUGCUGUCAAAGGUCGGGGCUUAACCCCGGGAAGGCAGUGGAAACUGAAUAGCUAGAGUGCGGUAGGGGCAGAGGGAAUUCCCGGUGUAGCGGUGAAAUGCGUAGAGAUCGGGAAGAACACCAGUGGCGGAAGCGCUCUGCUGGGCCUGCACUGACACUGAGGGAAGAAAGCUAGGGGAGCGAAAGGG
rnacentral:rRNA from 1 species